rnacentral:lncRNA from 12 species
CCCCCCCCCCCCCCCCCCCCCCCCCCCCCCCCCCCCCCCCCCCCCCCCCCCCCCCCCCCCCCCCCCCUCUUCCUUUUUUUUUUUUUUUUUUCCUUUUAACUGUAUUAUUUUUCUUUCCUUUUAUCUGUCUCUCCUUUGCUGCUGCUUCUUUUGGAAAUUACAGUGUUUUAUUUUUAGCUGUUUUCUGCUGCACAGGAAAAUGUAAAAGUUGCUUGCUGCUAGUUAAUUAUAGCCCUGGCAUUCCUGAGGGCUUUGCUCAUGUACAGGCCACUCAUUGUGAAUUUUUAUUAAGCUGCUCUAUUUGUCCAGUUUGGAAACAGCAAAUUCCUUUUGACAUGAAAACAUCUCCUUUGUUUUUGGGUCGCCUGAGCCAAGGAUUUGUAGGGGCUGGCCAUAGGAGGAGGAACAGUGGGAGUUGGGGAUGGGGGGAAACAAGGCUUGGAGAGCACUGGAAUGUGCCUCCAUGCAUCUCUGAUUUUCCCAGCUCACAUUUACCUCUCCCUUGGCUAGGGCUAUAUAUAAAUAUUUAUGUAUACAUACUCACACAUACAUACAUAUACAUAUACAUAUAUAUAUAUAUUUAAGCAAAGUCAUGUCCCAACAAACCCAGAAGCUCAGGCUGGAUGGAAUGGCUUGGAGUGCAGCCUCUGGAACUGUGUGCAUGCUCUUGUCCUGUGCUGCCGAGGGCUGAAAGGAUGCCCAGGUGCCAAAGGAUGCUGCUCUCCUUCGAGGCUGAUUUGCAGCACCCAUUGUCUUUAGCAGAAGAGCUGCUGUCUGCCCACAAAGCAGCACAAAGCAGAGCUCCAGCCCCCAGUGAGCACUGGGCAUCCCCACAAGUCAAGCCUGGCUGUUGGAGCCAAGCUGUGUUUGCUGCAGGGUGUGUAGGAUGUGCCUGUGCCCAGGGAGGGGGGAGCAACCAUGAGCUGGUGGGACAGCACUGUGACAUCGAGCUCCAGAUCCUCAGCCUGAUCCUCUCCCUCCCCACAGCCAUGUCAGAGCUCCACGCAGCUGGGGUGGGCGAAUGGCUGAGAACAGCAGCCAAAAGAAACAAAUUUGUGUGAUAGCUGGCUAAGAAGGGAAUUUAAACAAAUAAUCAGAUGGCAGCAGGCAAGUAAUUUUAUUUGUGUUUCUUCUUGUUUUGUUUUUCCUUUUGAACUCUGGCAAUUGCUAGAAGCUUUAGAAGAAAAUAGAAUUCAUUAAUUAUGAAUGAUUUUAUAAUGGAUGUUGCAUUUCCUUUCCAUUCGCAGAUGGCAUCUGUUUGUCUUUUCUGUUGGCAAAAUGGGAAGUAGGAAAAUGUGAUCCUAGAGCUAGGCAGAGCAGAAGCCCAUGCUGCGUGAGAGCAGCAGGUCUGGCUAAAGUGAAUGCAUUCCUUUUGUCCUCUAGAAAUUAAUAUAAUUGAACUAUCAUCUGUUGACUGGUUUAUAUCACAUCCUAUGAAUGUAUGUAAAUAAAACUGUACAUAGAUGCAUAUCUAUAUAAAAUAUCUUUUAAUAACGUAUCAAAUUUGUGUAAAUUGGAAACAAAAAUACCUAUAAAGCCAUUGUACAUAAGUUACAAUUCUGUAUAUUUUCUUUUGUU